rnacentral:rRNA from 1 species
AUACGGAGGGGGCGAGCGUUAUUCGGAAUUAUUGGGCGUAAAGGGCGCGUAGGCGGCUUGAUAAGUCAAAGGUGAAAUCCCUCGGCUCAACUGAGGAACUGCCUUUGAAACUGUCAGGCUUGAGGCCGGGAGGGGGUAGCGGAAUUCCCAGUGUAGCGGUGAAAUGCGUAGAUAUUGGGAGGAACACCGGUGGCGAAGGCGGCUACCUGGACCGGUUCUGACGCUGAUGCGCGAAAGCGUGGGUAGCAAACA